rnacentral:rRNA from 1 species
UACGGAGGGUGCGAGCGUUGUCCGGAAUCAUUGGGCGUAAAGGGCGCGUAGGUGGCCUGCUAAGCGUGCGGUGAAAGUCGGGGGCUCAACCCCCGAUCGGCCGUGCGAACUGGGAGGCUUGAGCACUGUAGAGGCAGGCGGAAUUCCGGGUGUAGCGGUGGAAUGCGUAGAUAUCUGGAAGAACACCAAUGGCGAAGGCAAUGUUCUGGCUCGUUUCUGACGCUCAGGUGCGAAAGCCAGGGGAGCGAACGGG